rnacentral:rRNA from 1 species
GGAGUUAGCCGGUGCUUCUUCUGCGAGUAACGUCACAGAUGUAAGGUAUUAACUUACACCCUUUCCUCCUCGCUGAAAGUGCUUUACAACCCGAAGGCCUUCUUCACACACGCGGCAUGGCUGCAUCAGGGUUUCCCCCAUUGUGCAAUAUUCCCCACUGCUGCCUCCCGUAGGAGUCUGGGCCGUGUCUCAGUCCCAGUGUGGCUGAUCAUCCUCUCAGACCAGCUAGGGAUCGUCGCCUAGGUGAGCCUUUACCUCACCUACUAGCUAAUCCCACCUGGGCUUAUCCAUCAGCGCAAGGCCCGAAGGUCCCCUGCUUUCCCCCGUAGGGCGUAUGCGGUAUUAGCAGUCGUUUCCAACUGUUAUCCCCACAAAUGGGCAAAUUCCCAGGCAUUACUCACCCGUCCGCCGCUCGUCAUCUUCAAAGCAAGCUUUGAAAUGUUACCGCUCGACUUGCAUGUGUUAGGCCUGCCGCCAGCGUUCAAUCUGAGCCAGAAUCAAACUCUGA